rnacentral:misc_RNA from 1 species
CAAUUGAGGUUACACAUUUAAAGUUAUAGGCUAAAAUGCAUACUGCCUUAAUCACAUUGCUAAAACAUACAUCAAUUACACCCUUACCUUACUAUAUGUCCACUUCCCUUACCAAUUCUGUUUUGGUUCAUUACCAAAACCAUAUCCCACUUUACAUUAACAUCACUUUGGGCAGAUUACAAGCAUCCUUAAUACACCAAUUAAAACUCACAUUUACAAAGUCUAAGUACAAUCACAUAUACACCUAAACCUUACUAGUUCUUACAUACACUUUACAUAAUCAAUCUAUAUACAUAUCCAUCAACCUUAAUGUCAAUAUUUCUGCCAACACCUUCAUGAACACACGCAUUUAUCCAAGUGUCCCAAGGCUGCCGAAAAUGUUUCUCAAUACCAAAGUGUCCUACAAUUCAUCAAUUUCCAUCCAAGUGCAAAAAUCACUAUAUACAUAUGGAAUAAUUUACUAGGAUAUUAAAUCACCCUAACCAACAUCAUUUCUCAUCAAUUAUAUGUACAAAUAUUUCAUCAAAUACAUAACUCCAUGGCUGUCCAAAAUUGAUAUAUCAAGAACUCCUCAAACUUGAAAAUUUUCUUCACAAAUCAAACACCCAUAACAUGUAUACAAAGUUUAACAAAGCAAUAUUCAAAAAUACAAACUUACCUAUGGUUGGGACUUGCUAAAUCUUCACU